AUCACGUCUUGGUCUCCAUUAACCUCUCGCAGUCUAAGUCUCUUUCAGCCCCAGCCUGCCUCCCAGGUGUAUCCGGUUCAAGUUGGCCGCAGGCCGGCAUGCAACAGAUUGGCGUCCGAGCCAGGGACCUUGGGAACAGUGGGAAAACACUGAGGGAAUCGCUGUCUUGUAUGGAGCUCCAAGGGAAGGAAAGAAUCAGAGGAUCGUAUCGGGCACAGUGAACAACAGCCAUUCUCUACCAUCCUGGCUUAGCAGAAGAUGUGCUCAACAGGCUGAGAUUACUACUAUAUGGUGAUGAACAGGUGCAAUGUAGAGGGAACCAAAGGUGCCCUCCACAAGAACCAGGAUAUAAAGGAGCCUGCCUGUGAUAGGAUCCCCGAUGUCACAUGAUACCUCAAAGCAAGGCUUACCCAUGAAGCCGUCUCAUCGUCCAGAGAUAGUUUUAAAACUUUCAAGAGGGAAAGCACCAAAUCACACUGAAGGGCAGCCCUGGUAGAUACCUACAAGUUCUCAGCAGAAACCCUACAGACCAGGACAUGGGAUAACAUAUUUGAGUUUGGAAAAAAAAUGACUGCUACUCAAGCUACCUAUAUCCAGCAAAGCUGUCCUAUAGAAUUAUCAGAACACAGUCCAAGGAUGGAGUCCUGUAAGAAGAGUGCUUGUGAAAAAAACACCAAGAAAAUAAGACAAGAAUUGUUAUUUGUUUAUAUGCCUCUACGGGUAAACAUGUUUUUGCCAUGUGGAGCUUGCCCUUGUGAUUGUAAACUUUACUAGUAUUAUUCUUCUUAAGCCUCAGAGUAUAAAUUGUCUGAUGCUCUGAAUAAAGUUGCCUGUUGCAUAAGA